rnacentral:rRNA from 1 species
GAUGAACGCUGGCGGCGUGCUUAACACAUGCAAGUCGAACGGAAAGGCCCUGCUUGCAGGGUACUCGAGUGGCGAACGGGUGAGUAACACGUGGGUGAUCUGCCCUGUACUUUGGGAUAAGCCUGGGAAACUGGGUCUAAUACCGAAUAUGACAAUUGUUUGGAUGCGAUUGUGGAGAGCUUUUGCGGUAUGGAAUGAGCUCGCGGCCUAUCAGCUUGUUGGUGGGGUAAUGGCCUACCAAGGCGUCGACGGGUAGCCGGCCUGAGAGGGUGUACGGCCACAUUGGGACUGAGAUACGGCCCAGACUCCUACGGGAGGCAGCAGUGGGGAAUAUUGCACAAUGGGCGCAAGCCUGAUGCAGCGACGCCGCGUGGGGGAUGACGGCCUUCGGGUUGUAAACUCCUUUCGCAACCGACGAAGCCUUUUGGUGACGGUAGGUUGAGAAGAAGCACCGGCUAACUACGUG